rnacentral:rRNA from 1 species
UGGGGGAUAUUGCACAAUGGGCGAAAGCCUGAUGCAGCGACGCCGCGUGGGGGAUGAAGGCUUUCGGGUUGUAAACCUCUUUCGCUAUCGAACAAGGCCCGCUUAGGGUGGGUUGAGGGUAGGUGGAGAAGAAGCGCCGGCUAACUACGUGCCAGCAGCCGCGGUAAUACGUAGGGCGCGAGCGUUGUCCGGAAUUAUUGGGCGUAAAGGGCUUGUAGGCGGCUUGUUGCGCCUGCUGUGAAAACGCGGGGCUUAACUUCGCGCGUGCAGUGGGUACGGGCAGGCUUGAGUGUGGUAGGGGUGACUGGAAUUCCAGGUGUAGCGGUGGAAUGCGCAGAUAUCUGGAGGAACACCGAUGGCGAAGGCAGGUCACUGGGCCAUUACUGACGCUGAGGAGCGAAAGCAUGGGUAGAGAACAGG